UGGGGAAUAUUGCACAAUGGGGGAAACCCUGAUGCAGCGACGCCGCGUGAGCGAAGAAGGUUUUCGAAUCGUAAAGCUCUGUCCUAUGGGAAGAUAAUGACGGUACCAUAGGAGGAAGCCCCGGCUAACUACGUGCCAGCAGCCGCGGUAAUACGUAGGGGGCAAGCGUUGUCCGGAAUCACUGGGCGUAAAGGGUUCGCAGGCGGAAAUGCAAGUCAGUUGUGAAAGGCAGAGGCUCAACCUCUGUAAGCAAUUGAAACUGUAUUUCUUGAGAUGUGGAGAGGCAAGUGGAAUUCCUAGGGUAGCGGUGAAAUGCGUAGAUAUUAGGAAGAAUACCGGUGGCGAAGGCGACUUGCUGGACACAAACUGACGCUGAGGUACGAAAGCGUGGGUAGCAAACAGG
rnacentral:rRNA from 1 species